rnacentral:rRNA from 1 species
GACGCUGAUGCGUUGUUGGGUAGGGGAGCGUUCUGUAAGCCUGUGAAGGUGGCCUGUGAGGGUUGCUGGAGGUAUCAGAAGUGCGAAUGCUGACAUAAGUAACGAUAAAGCGGGUGAAAAGCCCGCUCGCCGGAAGACCAAGGGUUCCUGUCCAACGUUAAUCGGGGCAGGGUGAGUCGACCCCUAAGGCGAGGCCGAAAGGCGUAGUCGAUGGGAAACGGGUUAAUAUUCCCGUACUUGGUGUUACUGCGAAGGGGGGACGGAGAAGGCUAUGUUGGCCGGGCGACGGUUGUCCCGGUUUAAGCGUGUAGGUGUGUGUUCCAGGUAAAUCCGGUUCACUUUAACACUGAGGCGUGAUGACGAGGCACUACGGUGCUGAAGCAACAAAUGCCCUGCUUCCAGGAAAAGCCUCUAAGCAUCAGGUAACAUCAAAUCGUACCCCAAACCGACACAGGUGGUCAGGUAGAGAAUACCAAGGCGCUUGAGAGAACUCGGGUGAAGGAACUAGGCAAAAUGGUGCCGUAACUUCGGGAGAAGGCACGCUGACACGUAGGUGAAGUGAUUUACUCAUGGAGCUGAAGUCAGUCGAAGAUACCAGCUGGCUGCAACUGUUUAUUAAAAACACAGCACUGUGCAAACACGAAAGUGGACGUAUACGGUGUGACGCCUGCCCGGUGCCGGAAGGUUAAUUGAUGGGGUCAGCGCAAGCGAAGCUCCUGAUCGAAGCCCCGGUAAACGGCGGCCGUAACUAUAACGGUCCUAAGGUAGCGAAAUUCCUUGUCGGGUAAGUUCCGACCUGCACGAAUGGCGUAAUGAUGGCCAGGCUGUCUCCACCCGAGACUCAGUGAAAUUGAACUCGCUGUGAAGAUGCAGUGUACCCGCGGCAAGACGGAAAGACCCCGUGAACCUUUACUAUAGCUUGACACUGAACAUUGAGCCUUGAUGUGUAGGAUAGGUGGGAGGCUUUGAAGUGUGGACGCCAGUCUGCAUGGAGCCGACCUUGAAAUACCACCCUUUAAUGUUUGAUGUUCUAACGUGGACCCGUAAUCCGGGUUGCGGACAGUGUCUGGUGGGUAGUUUGACUGGGGCGGUCUCCUCCUAAAGAGUAACGGAGGAGCACGAAGGUUGGCUAAUCCUGGUCGGACAUCAGGAGGUUAGUGCAAUGGCAUAAGCCAGCUUGACUGCGAGCGUGACGGCGCGAGCAGGUGCGAAAGCAGGUCAUAGUGAUCCGGUGGUUCUGAAUGGAAGGGCCAUCGCUCAACGGAUAAAAGGUACUCCGGGGAUAACAGGCUGAUACCGCCCAAGAGUUCAUAUCGACGGCGGUGUUUGGCACCUCGAUGUCGGCUCAUCACAUCCUGGGGCUGAAGUAGGUCCCAAGGGUAUGGCUGUUCGCCAUUUAAAGUGGUACGCGAGCUGGGUUUAGAACGUCGUGAGACAGUUCGGUCCCUAUCUGCCGUGGGCGCUGGAGAACUGAGGGGGGCUGCUCCUAGUACGAGAGGACCGGAGUGGACGCAUCACUGGUGUUCGGGUUGUCAUGCCAAUGGCACUGCCCGGUAGCUAAAUGCGGAAGAGAUAAGUGCUGAAAGCAUCUAAGCACGAAACUUGCCCCGA